UUUGGUAAUUUCAGCUUUCACCCACUACCAUUGCAUGUUUUGUUCUCUGUCAUCUGAAUCCUUGAUCUUUCAACGUUUUAACUUAUAUUCGAUUAUCCAUCUUUAUUAUUUCAGAUUAAUCUGAACCAGAGCAUGUCAUUUCCGUCAUCAUCGUCCAGGGUUGACUGGACCUUGAACCUUGGCCUGUGCUAAAAUUCUAAUAGGACUCUCCUUAGAUCAAGAUGAUAGCAAGGAGCUUCUCUCAUGGGCAAUAAGAGUUCUAGCCAAUCCAAAUGACACCAUUGUGGUUGUGCACGUUCUUGUUGCUGAGGAUAAGAAGAAGCGCAUCUCGGUUAGAAGAAGGCAAUCACAGCUUAGGCAGGCAAAAGCAUAUGUUAUAUCUAUGGUUGCUGACUUCUUUAACAUCAAGAUGAUAGCAAGGAGCUUCUCUCAUGGGCAAUGAUAGUUCUAGCCAAUCCAAAUGGCACCAUUGUGGCUGUGCACGUUCUUGGUUAGUCACUAUUUUUCUACCCAAGAUAAGUUUGCGGCUCAAUUUAGCUAUUGAAUAAUUUUUUAAUACUAAUUCACAAACUGAACAUUAUAACAUCAUUGAUGAACACAGA